CGCUAUGCUCCUACGGGAGGCAGCAGUGGGGAAUAUUGCACAAUGGGCGCAAGCCUGAUGCAGCCAUGCCGCGUGUGUGAAGAAGGCCUUCGGGUUGUAAAGCACUUUCAGCAGUGAGGAAGGCGGAGUCGUUAAUAGCGGCCUCGUUUGACGUUAGCUGCAGAAGAAGCACCGGCUAACUCCGUGCCAGCAGCCGCGGUAAUACGGAGGGUGCGAGCGUUAAUCGGAAUUACUGGGCGUAAAGCGCAUGCAGGUGGUUUGUUAAGUCAGAUGUGAAAGCCCGGGGCUCAACCUCGGAAUAGCAUUUGAAACUGGCAGACUAGAGUACUGUAGAGGGGGUAGAAUUUCAGGUGUAGCGGUGAAAAUGCGUAGAGAUCUGAAGGAAUACCGGUGGCGAAGGCGGCCCCCUGGACAGAUACUGACACUCAGAUGCGAAAGCGUGGGGAGCAAACAGGAUUAGAUACCCUGGUAG
rnacentral:rRNA from 1 species